rnacentral:rRNA from 1 species
GACGAACGCUGGCGGCGUGCUUAACACAUGCAAGUCGAACGGAAAGGCCUCUUUCGGGGGGUACUCGAGUGGCGAACGGGUGAGUAACACGUGAGUAACCUGCCCUUGACUUUGGGAUAACUUCAGGAAACUGGGGCUAAUACCGGAUAGGAGCUCCUGCUGCAUGGUUGGGGUUGGAAAGUUUCGGCGGUUGGGGAUGGACUGGCGGCUUAUCAGCUUGUUGGUGGGGUAGUGGCUUACCAAGGCUUUGACGGGUAGCCGGCCUGAGAGGGUGACCGGCCACAUUGGGACUGAGAGACGGCACAGACACCGACGGGAGGCAGCAGGGGGGAAGAUUGCACAAGGGGUGGAAGCCGGAUGCAGCAACGCCGUGUGCGGGAUGACGGUCUUAGGGUUGAAAACCGAUUUCGCUCAUGACGAAGCUUUGUGUGACGGUAGUGGGUAAAGAAGCACCGGCUAACUACGUG